rnacentral:rRNA from 1 species
UACGUAGGGGGGCUAGCGUUGUCCGGAAUCAUUGGGCGUAAAGCGCGUGUAGGCGGCCCGGUAAGUCCGCUGUGAAAGUCGGGGGCUCAACCCUCGAAAGCCGGUGGAUACUGUCGGGCUCGAGUGCGGAAGAGGCGAGUGGAAUUCCUGGUGUAGCGGUGAAAUGCGCAGAUAUCAGGAGGAACACCGAUUGCGAAGGCAGCUCGCUGGGACGUUACUGACGCUGAGACGCGAAAGCGUGGGGAGCAAACAGG